rnacentral:rRNA from 1 species
GGAAGUUUUCAGUGUGCUUCGGCGGCUGGGGAAGAGAUACACUCUCUAUCUGAACCCUUGUCUUUUUGCGUACUCAUGUUUCCUCGGCGGGCCUGCCCGCCGGUUGGACAACUUAAUAACCUUUUUAAUUUUCAAUCAGCGUCUGAAUCAUUAUAAUAAUUACAACUUUCAACAACGGAUCUCUUGGUUCUGGCAUCGAUGAAGAACGCAGCGAAAUGCGAUAAGUAGUGUGAAUUGCAGAAUUCAGUGAAUCAUCGAAUCUUUGAACGCACAUUGCGCCCCUUGGUAUUCCAUGGGGCAUGCUUGUUCGAGCGUCAUUUGUACUCUCAAGCUUUGCUUGGUGUUGGGUGUUUGUCCUUACCUUUGUGUUUGGACUCGCCUUAAAUUCAUUGGCAGCCAAUAUAUUGGUUUGAAGCGCAGCACAUUUUGCGGUUCUGUCUAAUACUAUUAGCGUCCAUAAAGCACAAUUAACACUUUUGACCUCGGAUCAAGUAGGGAUACCCGCUGAACUUAAGCAUAUCAAUAAGCGGAGGAAAAGAAACCAACAGGGAUUGCCCUAGUAACGGCGAGUGAAGCGGCAACAGCUCAAAUUUGAAAUCUGGCUCUUUUAGGGUCCGAGUUGUAAUUUGCAGAGGGCGCUUUGGCGUUGGCAGCGGUCCAAGUUCUUUGGAACAGGACGUCACAGAGGGUGAGAAUCCCGUACGUGGUCGCUAUCCUUCGCCGUGUAAAGCCCCUUCGACGAGUCGAGUUGUUUGGGAAUGCAGCUCUAAAUGGGAGGUAAAUUUCUUCUAAAGCUAAAUACUGGCCAGAGACCGAUAGCGCACAAGUAGAGUGAUCGAAAGAUG